AAAGGCGUCAUUAUAGACAAAGAGACAUACAUAAAAUUAAAAAAGAUAUAUAAUGCUAUGCACAUAGUGCAUUAUGUACGGUAUGAUAAAUUACCAGAUGUAAUAGAUCAAAUGGAUCUAUUGGAUUAUAUGACGGACGAGCGUCUAACGUAAAAGAAAAAGAAUUAGAAUUGUUAAUUGUAAAUUGUAUGAUGUAAAGUUGUAUUUUGAACAAGAAUAUAUGUAAUGUUAACAUGUAAAUUGUAAAAUUAUUGUACUUUGAACUGAAUAUAUGUAACUGGAAAAAACUGUAUUUUGAACUAGAAUAUAUGAAAUGUAAAAUUGUAAAAUUAUUGUAACUGUAAAAUUGUAUUGGAAUAUAUGAAAUGUAUAAUUGUAUUUUAAACGGAACUGCGAGUUGGGGGUUCGUAAGCCGUUCCAUCUCAUUACAUAAAAUUCAUUCUUACCUCAUACUUUAUUUUAUUUAUGUACCCCAUGUCCCGUCUUGUAAUGUCCCCCUCUUCGUCGCCCCUUGUGGGUAAUAAAAAAAUCCGUCUUAGGCUUUUAGUUCUUUUAAGAGCUAAGUCUCUGACCACACAGAGCAUACUCGACCAAGUUCCAGUUCGAAAGGCAGGCGACCACCAUUAAUACAAGAUGUUACAGAUACCUCUUAUACUGUUAGUGUGAAAUAUCACCAUGAAGAACGGUUACAGGAUAUCUAUAACUAGAGAAAAAUAACCAAGCAGAACAUAUGAUGAAGACGCAGCGAAAACCAAGCUCCAAACAUCGAAGAUUUAAUUUGUACACAAGACGACUACAGAUUCACCUAUAGCGGUUAGGUGAAAUUCUCGCCACGGAAAAAACGGCUACAGUAACAUAUCUGGAAGUAUGUUCAUAUCAAGAGAAAGAUAAACACAACGAGUGAUUCAAUUAAUCUCAACUGCGAUACGCAAUAUCUUGAUAUGGAACUCUUACGCUGUACCUCAUAAACGGUAAAUCAAUUAUCUGUUCUUGGGUUCUAGUUUCUUCUAAGAACUACCUUAAGCCAUCUGUUAUUACCUGUUGCCAGGCCGAUACCAACAACAUGAACUGUGAAUCAAAUUCCAUCGUCAUUUCACUGGUCAGUACCUUUUUACGCCUAACGAACACACAGACACAAAAACAUGCUAACACUUACAAACUUCCAACAUCAAGCAUGAUUGUAAAAUAUGUAAAAUAAAUAAUGUAUAUAUCUU
rnacentral:lncRNA from 1 species